rnacentral:rRNA from 1 species
GAUGAACGCUGGCGGCGUGCCUAAUACAUGCAAGUCGAACGCUGAAGGAGGAUCUUGCUCUUCUGGAUGAGUUGCGAACGGGUGAGUAACGCGUAGGUAACCUGCCUGGUAGCGGGGGAUAACUAUUGGAAACGAUAGCUAAUACCGCAUGACAACAGUUAUUGCAUGAUAACUGUUUAAAAGGGGCAACUGCUCCACUACCAGAUGGACCUGCGUUGUAUUAGCUAGUUGGUGAGGUAACGGCUCACCAAGGCGACGAUACAUAGCCGACCUGAGAGGGUGGACGGCCACACUGGGACUGAGACACGGCCCAGACUCCUACGGGAGGCAGCAGUAGGGAAGCUUCGGCAAUGGACGGAAGUCUGACCGAGGAACGCCGGGUGAGUGAAGAAGGGUUUCGGAUCGUAAAGCUCUGUUGUAAGAGAAGAACGAGUGUGAGAGUGGAAAGUUCACACUGUGACGGUAUCUUACCAGAAAGGGACGGCUAACUACGUG